GACGAACGCUGGCGGCGUGCCUAAUACAUGCAAGUAGAACGCUGAAGGAGGAGCUUGCUUCUCUGGAUGAGUUGCGAACGGGUGAGUAACGCGUAGGUAACCUGCCUGGUAGCGGGGGAUAACUAUUGGAAACGAUAGCUAAUACCGCAUAAGAGUAGAUGUCGCAUGACAUUUGCUUGAAAGGUGCAAUUGCAUCACUACUAGAUGGACCUGCGUUGUAUUAGCUAGUUGGUGAGGUAACGGCUCACCAAGGCAACGAUACAUAGCCGACCUGAGAGGGUGAUCGGCCACACUGGGACUGAGACACGGCCCAGACUCCUACGGGAGGCAGCAGUAGGGAAUCUUCGGCAAUGGACGGAAGUCUGACCGAGCAACGCCGCGUGAGUGAAGAAGGUUUUCGGAUCGUAAAGCUCUGUUGUAAGAGAAGAACGAGUGUGAGAGUGGAAAGUUCACACUGUGACGGUAUCUUACCAGAAAGGGACGGCUAACUACGUGCCAGCAGCCGCGGUAAUACGUAGGUCUCGAGCGUUGUCCGGAUUUAUUGGGCGUAAAGCGAGCGCAGGCGGUUAGAUAAGUCUGAAGUUAAAGGCUGUGGCUUAACCAUAGUACGCUUUGGAAACUGUUUAACUUGAGUGCAAGAGGGGAGAGUGGAAUUCCAUGUGUAGCGGUGAAAUGCGUAGAUAUAUGGAGGAACACCGGUGGCGAAAGCGGCUCUCUGGCUUGUAACUGACGCUGAGGCUCGAAAGCGUGGGGAGCAAACAGG
rnacentral:rRNA from 1 species